AUACUGGAAGGUUUUAUUCUUCAAAGCUUCGGCACCUGAGGAUGGGACUGCGUCGGACUAGCUUGUUGUCGGGAUAAUUACCCGACAAGGCGAUAAUCCGUACGGGUUGUGAGAGCAAUAGCCCGGAGAUGGAUUCUGAGACAUGAAUCCAGGUCCUACGGGACGCAGCAGGCGCGAAACCUUCACAAUGCCUGAAAGGGUGAUGAGGGAACUCUGAGUGACUUCGCAAUGCGAAGUCUUUUGCCAAGUGCAAAAAGCUCGGUGAAUAAGUGGUGGGCAAGACAGUUGCCAGCCGCCGCGGUAAUAACUGCGCCACGAGUGGUGAUCUCGUUUAUUGGGCUUAAAGCGUUCGUAGCCGGUUUUAUAAGCAUCUGGUGAAAUCCGAUAGUAAACUAUUGGGCUGGCUAGGUGUACUGUAAGACUAGGGACCGGUAGGGGCCGGGAGUACUCCUAGGGUAGGGGUUAAAUCCUUUAAUCCUAGGGGGACUACCAGUGGCGAAGGCGCCCGGCUAGAACGGGUCCGACGGUGAGGGACGAAAGCUGGGGGAGCGAUCCGGAUUAGAUACCCGGGUAGUCCCAGCUGUAAACGAUGCCCGCUUGGUGUGGUGAAACUUUCGUGGUUUUGCCGUACCGUAGCGAAAGUG
rnacentral:rRNA from 1 species